rnacentral:misc_RNA from 1 species
UGGCUCUCGCAUCGAUGAAGAACGCAGCGAAAUGCGAUAAGUAAUGUGAAUUGCAGAAUUCAGUGAAUCAUCGAAUCUUUGAACGCACCUUGCGCCCCUUGGUAUUCCGAGGGGCAUGCCUGUUUGAGUGUCAUUUAAUCAUCAACUCUGUAAGCUUUCACGAGUUUUCAGUGCUUGGAUUUGGAGUGUGCCAGUCCUUUUGGGGGCUCGGCUCCUCUUGAAAUGCAUAAGUGGAACCUUGCGAGUACCCAGCUCUGGCGUGAUAAUUAUCUACGUCGUGGCCAGGUGACGCGGUUGGGUCCGCCUAAAACCGUCGCCCCUGUGCGACAGGGGCUUUAAACCCCCCUAUCUUUUGACAAUUUGACCUCAAAUCAGGUAGGACUACCCGCUGA